CACACACACACACAGAUUAUAGAUGAGUGUAACACCCAGGUUGGGAAGAUGAAACAGAUGGAAGAGCUCAUAGAGAUCAACAAGACGCUGGAGUUUGACAAGCUGAAGGCCGUGCCGAUCAUCUCGCAGAACCGUUUCCUGGAGAGAGAGAGGAGAGCUGCAGGAGGUGGCCAAAGUUGGAACCUUGUUUAAUUCCAAACCCAAGUUCACACCCGUCUACCUCUUCCUCUUCAAUGACCUGCUCGUCUUAGCCACCAAGAAAGGCUUGGAGCGCUACAUGGUGAUUGACCACGCCCACCGCUCCCUGGUGCAAGUUCACAUUAUCGCAGAUCAGGCCGUCAGUAUGAAUCUGGAGAACUGCUUCUCCCUCACACUGCUGGAGAACCA